UAAUAAUUUUCUCUCGUGACACGGGUAAUUUUAACGCAUCGGCGUCAGACACAUUUCCUCUGUUAACCUCUGUCUGUGAUUUAUCUAUUUUUGGCGACGUACCGGCACACAAUUCGUCACCAGAAAAAAGAGUGAUAAAAACAGAGUCAGACAAAUCAACCAUAUCACCCACUUUACGCGACUGAGCGCGGGUGACAGCGCAUGCGGGAAAAACUUCAGGAUCAUUUCCAAGGAUAAAAUCAACGCCCUGGACAGGAAGAGAAGGACGUACUGCCACUCUUACAAAUCCCGUACAUAAGUCACUCUGCAGGUGGAUACGAUGUAAUGGCACAGUAAUACAACUCAUGUCAAUGCCUUGAACUAUCACACUUGAAUUACAGAAAGUGUCCUCAGAGAAUGGUAAUUUAUCUGCCACAAUAAAAGACUGCAUUGCACCGGUGUCUCUGAGCAUUCUUAUUUCUUUCUGUUCGUCACAAUUUCCCUUUAGAGAAAUUAACCCUUUCAAGAUAAAAGGUUGAUAACUGUCAUCGAUUUUCUCCACUCUAGGUACACUGACAGUCGGCUUACAAGUCUUCACAAACCCUACGCUCUUAGGCUGCUGCUUGCGUUUUAAAGACAGACAAUCUGCGAUCACAUGUCCUUGUUUGUGACAGUAAAAACAUUCACGAUCCUCUCUCGUACGAGUUGGACUGUGUUUGGGACGGACUGGUGGGUUUUGCAAAGGAACAGAUUGUGAUCGCUCUGGACGUGCAAGUGCAAAAACGUUUUUGUGGGUUAAAACAAACUCGUCCGCUAACACAGCUGCUUGAGACAACGAAAUUACUUUCUGUUCAUUUAGGUAGACCACUACACGAUCAGGUAAACACCCUUUGAACUCUUCGAGCAGUACAAGUUCUC